CUUCAAUUUCAAAAUUGCGCGUGUCCUAUAGUCAACUGGAGAACUUAAUCAAAAUCCUUUGCUAGAGGUUUGAAACUACCAGAGCAUAAUGAACGCCCGUAUGACAUCAGUUCCUUACAGGAUUUUUCUGUUGAUUGGUCUCAUUUAUCAGGUGCACCAAGUGACAACUCUCUCCAGCAGAUCAGGUAAAAUGACGUGAACAGACCGGCGAUCAAAAUUACAAACUACUCUUUGGUCGGGAGCAUUUACAUCAGGCUCAACGUCAAGUGUUAUUCGUAUGUACCGACAACUAUGAACGACUCGUGAUGUGUCGGGAGUCCUUUUUUUUUUAAAGAAAUAUCACAUAACAUGGUGCAUGGGACGAUUUAACGGACAACUGUCCUGCAAAAAGACUUUCCUGGUUUUGAAAGUGAUUAACAACCAGUGGGAAUUUUAUCGAGCCCUUAAAGUUAACCUCUUUUCCCUUUAUAGAAGUCAUUUGACAGUAAAAAAAAUUGUCCAUAGUCGUUAGCCUUACCUCUGCUUUUAAGUGAAGUUUAAAGUAAUGCUAUGGAUAAUGAGUGCAUGGCAUUGACUAGACUCUUAAGAUUGCGAGCCCUGUGCUUGCUUUGUAAUUUUACCCGCGGUAACUUAGGAUUCUCUUUUGGUAUUAGAGAGGGGGCUAUUCAUGUUAAGGGCUGCAUACUUCAUUUCUUAUUCAAUGAAAUGGUUGUUUGCCUGGGAAACUGAAUUCAGUCCAUCAGAUUAUUUGGUUAUGAAAGUCGUUUCGGGAAGACUUCAAGAGCAAGAAAAGUCCCCUCCUUUAACUUAAGGAAAAAGACUGACUUUACAAAAAAAAA